GGGCCCGCACAAGCGGCGGAGCAUGUUGCUUAAUUCGACGCAACGCGAAGAACCUUACCAAGGCUUGACAUUGCCGGAAAACUCGCAGAGAUGCGGGGUCCCUUUGGGGCCGGUGACAGGUGGUGCAUGGCUGUCGUCAGCUCGUGUCGUGAGAUGUUGGGUUAAGUCCCGCAACGAGCGCAACCCUCGUUCCAUGUUGCCAGCACGUAAUGGUGGGGACUCAUGGGAGACUGCCGGGGUCAACUCGGAGGAAGGUGGGGAUGACGUCAAGUCAUCAUGCCCCUUAUGUCCAGGGCUUCACACAUGCUACAAUGGCCUAUACAAAGGGCUGCGAAACCGUGAGGUGGAGCGAAUCCCAAAAAGCCGGUCUCAGUUCGGAUCGGGGUCUGCAACUCGACCCCGUGAAGUCGGAGUCGCUAGUAAUCGCAGA
rnacentral:rRNA from 1 species